rnacentral:misc_RNA from 1 species
AGUUCACGGGCGUCGCUACGCUGUAGUUAGCUGUGAGCUGAAGCGAAUCGAUCACGCGCAGUAUCUCGUCGAAGUUACGGCCGGUACUAGCCGGGUAAGUAAUCAUCAGUUUAAUCUUCUUAUCCGGACCAAUGACAAACACUGAGCGGACCGUAAACACAUCGCUGAUCUCGGGAUGGAUCAUGUCGUAGAGCUCGGAAACCUUAUGAUCCGGAUCCGCGAUGAUCGGGAAGUUAAGCGCUGUGCCCUGCGUUUCUUUUAUAUCUUCCGCCCACUUGCUGUGGGAGUCAGUCUUGUCAACGCUCAAGCCGAUGACCUUAACGCC